rnacentral:lncRNA from 1 species
CUCCUCCGCCUCCAGCGCCACCUCGUAUCUCCUCAUUCCCGACAUGUCCUGGGCUCCGAACGUCUCCUGGGGAGCGGCAUGAUUGAAUCAGGGAUUCCCUAGCCCCAGGUCCCCUUCUCCGUCAUUCUCAGGACGAGGCUGCCCAGUUCUCAGGUGCAGGACAAUAGACAGAACUCAAAGUCAUCCCUCUGCUCACCUGAGACAAAUGUGUAUCUGAUUGCUGCUUCUGCCCUAUUGUUUAUGCAAAAAUGCAGAUCCACUGAGCCAGACUAAGGCAUCAGUGUGACUAUUCCUUUACUCCCCACUCCAUGUAAAUUGUGUAUUCAGUGAAAGGCUGAUCAAAGACCCCAAAAAAUGCAGCCUUUUGUCUCUUAUCUACCUAUGACCUGGAAGCCCCCACUUCGAGUUGUCCCGCCUUUCCAGACUGAACCAGUGUACACCUUACACGUAUUGAUUGAUGUCUCAUGUCUCCCCAAAAUGUAUAAAACCAAGCUGUGCACCGACCACCUUUAGCAUGUGUUGUCAGAACCUCCUGAGGCUGUAUCAUGUCAUGAGUGUGUGCUCAACCUUGGCAAAAUAAACUUUCUAAAUUGAUUGAGA